UAAGGAAUAUUGGUCAAUGGAGGCAACUCUGAACCAGCCAUGCCGCGUGCAGGAAGACAGCCCUCUGGGUCGUAAACUGCUUUUAUUCGGGAAUAAACCUUAUUACGUGUAAUAAGCUGAAUGUACCGAAGGAAUAAGGAUCGGCUAACUCCGUGCCAGCAGCCGCGGUAAUACGGAGGAUCCAAGCGUUAUCCGGAUUUAUUGGGUUUAAAGGGUGCGUAGGCGGCUUAUUAAGUCAGGGGUGAAAGACGGUGGCUCAACCAUCGCAGUGCCCUUGAUACUGAAGAGCUUGAAUAAACUAGAGGUAGGCGGAAUGUGACAAGUAGCGGUGAAAUGCAUAGAUAUGUCACAGAACACCAAUUGCGAAGGCAGCUUACUAUGGUUUAAUUGACGCUGAGGCACGAAAGCGUGGGGAUCAAACA
rnacentral:rRNA from 1 species